rnacentral:rRNA from 1 species
GACAGAGGGGGCAAGCGUUGCUCGGAAUUACUGGGCGUAAAGGGCGCGUAGGUGGUUCUGUAUGUCUACCGUGAAAGCGUACGGCUCAACUGUAUUUUGUCGGUAGAAACUGCAGGACUUGAGGCUGGGAGGGGCUGGUGGAAUUCCCUGUGUAGCGGUGAAAUGCGUAGAGAUGGGGGAGAACACUCGUGGCGAAGGCGGCCAGCUAGACCAGUUCUGACACUGAGGCGCGACAGCGUGGGGAGCAAACAGG